GCCACAGAAAAGACUUGAGACACAGCGCAGGGGGGACUGGAAAAGUUUAGGUCUGAGUUCAUCGAGUGAGGGAGAGGCAGGAAGAGGCUUGUGGGUUGACAGAAUUCUCGGUCCUCCUCCUGUGUGUGUGCGUAUGUGUGUGUGUUUGGUGUAUCAUGGUGGUGUGUUGACAGGGGGGGGGGUUAGGGUUAGAGGCGUCUGCUCAUAGUGAGGUGCAAAAACUACACCAGGGAGCAGGGUGGAGAUGAGAAACAACGAAACCGUUAACAGAUACUGAGGGACCACACAAGUGAAGACAUGGUACUCUGGAAGAGGCUUGCACACUGAUAAUGGAUCCGAAGACAGAUUUGCACCUCUCUCUCUCUCCGAGCUGUGAAAAAGUGCAGGCGCAAACGACUCCUUAAGACUAGACACCAAACUGAGUGAGUUCAGAGCUCCUGAGAGUCUGCGAGGUCAGUGUGGAGCAGAAGAGGCGCAGUGGAGGUCACUUUACCUGCU